rnacentral:rRNA from 1 species
CGGACGGGUGAGUAACGCGUGAGAAUCUGGCUCUAGGUCUGGGACAACCACUGGAAACGGUGGCUAAUACCGGAUGUGCCGAGAGGUGAAAGGUUAACUGCCUAGAGAUGAGCUCGCGUCUGAUUAGCUAGUUGGAAGUGUAAUGGACUCCCAAGGCGACGAUCAGUAGCUGGUCUGAGAGGACGAUCAGCCACACUGGGACUGAGACACGGCCCAGACUCCUACGGGAGGCAGCAGUGGGGAAUUUUCCGCAAUGGGCGAAAGCCUGACGGAGCAAUACCGCGUGAGGGAGGAAGGCUCUUGGGUCGUAAACCUCUUUUCUCAGGGAAGAACAAAAUGACGGUACCUGAGGAAUAAGCAUCGGCUAACUCCGUGCCAGCAGCCGCGGUAAUACGGAGGAUGCAAGCGUUAUCCGGAAUGAUUGGGCGUAAAGCGUCCGCAGGUGGCUAUGUAAGUCUGCUGUUAAAGAGUCUAGCUCAACUAGAUAAGAGCAGUGGAAACUACAAGGCUAGAGUACGUUCGGGGCAGAGGGAAUUCCUGGUGUAGCGGUGAAAUGCGCAGAGAUCAGGAAGAACACCGGUGGCGAAGGCGCUCUGCUAGGCCGUAACUGACACUGAGGGACGAAAGCUAGGGGAGCGAAUGGGAUUAGAUACCCCAGUAGUC